rnacentral:rRNA from 1 species
CCUACGGGUGGCAACAGUGAGGAAUAUUGGUCAAUGGACGAGAGUCUGAACCAGCCAAGCAGCGUGAAGGAUGACUGCCCUAUGGGUUGUAAACUCCAUUUAUAUGGGAGUAAAAUGUUACACGUGUGGGAUUUUGUACGUACCAUAUGUAUAAGGAUCGGCUAACUCCGUGCCAGCAGCCGCGGUAAUACGGAGGAUUCGAGCGUUAUCCGGAUUGCAUGGGUUUAAAGGGAACGUAGGUGGAUUGUUAAGUCAGUUGUGAAAGUUAGCGGCUCAACCGCGAGAUUGCAGUUGAAACUGGCAGUCUUGAGUACAGUAGAGGUAGGCGGAAUUCGUGGUGUAGCGGUGAAAUGCGUAGAUAUCACGAAGAACUCCGAUUGCGAAGGCAGCUCACUGGACUGCAACUGACGCUGAGGCUCGAAAGUGUGGGUAUCAAACAGGAUUAGAUACCCUUGUAGUC